AGGUGCGAUCAUACCAGCACUAAUGCACUAGAUCCCAUCAGAACUCCGCAGUGAAGCGUGCUUGGGCGAGAGUAGUACUAGGAUCGGUGACCUCCUGGGAAGUCUUCUUGUUGCACCUC
rnacentral:rRNA from 2 species